UACGUAGGGAGCAAGCGUUGUCCGGAAUCAUUGGGCGUAAAGCGCGCGUAGGUGGCUUCGUAAGUCCGUUGUGAAAGUCAAAGGCUCAACCUUUGAAAGCCGAUGGAUACUGUGGAGCUAGAGUACGGAAGAGGCGAGUGGAAUUCCUGGUGUAGCGGUGGAAUGCGCAGAUAUCAGGAGGAACACCAUAGCGAAGGCAGCUCGCUGGGACGUUACUGACACUGAGGCGCGAAGCGUGGGGAGCGAACAGG
rnacentral:rRNA from 1 species